rnacentral:rRNA from 1 species
UACGUAGGGGGCUAGCGUUGUUCGGAAUCACUGGGCGUAAAGGGAGCGUAGGCGGAGGAGUAAGUUAGGAGUCAAAUUCACAGGCUUAACCUGUGGUCCGCUCUUAAGACUGCUUCUCUUGAGUAUGGGAGAGGGUGAUGGAAUUCCAGGUGUAGCGGUGGAAUGCGUAGAUAUCUGGAAGAACACCAGUUGCGAAGGCGGUCACCUGGCCCAAUACUGACGCUGAGGCUCGAAAGCUAGGGGAG